GGGGGGGGGGGGGGGCGGGCUUGGCGGGGGCGAGGCGAAGGGGAGGGCGGGCUUGGGCCUGGCGGCGAGGGGGGAAGGGGGGUGGAAUAGAUGUGAACGUGCCCAGUGGGGGGGGAGAGCUCGGCGCAAGCCGGAUUAAUACCGCAUACGACCUGAGGGGGAAAGCGGGGUGUCUUCGGACCUCGCGCUAUUGGUGCGGCCGAUGGCCGAUUAGCUAGUUGGUGGGGUAAAGGCCUACCAAGGCGACGAUCUGUAGCUGGUCUUAUAGGACGACCAGCCACCAGGGGACUGAGACACGGCCCAGACUCCUACGGGAGGCGGCAGUGGGGAAUUUUGGACAAUGGGCGAAAGCCUGAUCCAGCAAUGCCGCGUGUGUGAUGAAGGCCUUCGGGUUGUAAAGCACUUUUGGCGGGAACGAAAAGGACUGUGCCAAUACCACGGUUCGAUGACGGUACCCGCAGAAUAAGCACCGGCUAACUACGUG
rnacentral:rRNA from 1 species